AACGAACGCUGGCGGCAUGCCUAACACAUGCAAGUCGAACGAGACCCCUGACUUCGGUUGGCGGGUCUAGUGGCGCACGGGUGCGUAACGCGUGGGAAUCUGCCCUUGGGUUCGGAAUAACUCAGAGAAAUUUGAGCUAAUACCGGAUGAUGACGAAAGUCCAAAGAUUUAUCGCCCAGGGAUGAGCCCGCGUAAGAUUAGCUUGUUGGUGGGGUAAUGGCCUACCAAGGCGACGAUCUUUAGCUGGUCUGAGAGGAUGAUCAGCCACACUGGGACUGAGACACGGCCCAGACUCCUACGGGAGGCAGCAGUGGGGAAUAUUGGACAAUGGGCGCAAGCCUGAUCCAGCAAUGCCGCGUGAGUGAUGAAGGCCUUAGGGUUGUAAAGCUCUUUACCAGGGAUGAUAAUGACAGUACCUGGAGAAUAGCUCCGGCUAACUCCGUG
rnacentral:rRNA from 1 species